UUCUCUCUCUCUCGCGUCUCUGCCUUUCUCUUCCUUCUUUCUCUUCUUCUAGUUUUUUUUCUUCUUUCUCUUUUUCUUCCCUCUUUCUCUCCUACGGCUAAAAAAGCUUCCAUCUUGUCUCCAGCACGGCACCGCAACAGCUUCUAUCUAGCACGACAAGCAACAUGGUAAAAUUCGAAACCCUAGCCUUGAUUUUCUCUUGAUUUUAUUGUUUGGAUUUGAUUUUAAUUACGGGUUUUUC